GUACACUCCACACGGCAUCUCUUCUUACCAUAGAUGUCUUUACCACUGUAGGUUCUGCUGGUUCGUAAGACUCAGGAGGCAGGGUGUACCACCAGUUUGGACCUGUGGAGGAACUCUAUCCUUCCUGUAGCCCCACUCAAGGCUGGCAGUAUGUCAUGUCACCUGGCACAGAGACUGGAGCAGUGUUCCCAAGUAUGGAAUAUGCUGCCAUUAGAGCCUGAAUGCACUGCACUUCCUAUUUCAGGGUAGAAGAAAUAAACAUUCAACUGGGAAUUGAGCUUGGAAAAUUCCAGAUUGCUGACAUUUGGGAUAUGGUGUGAGACUCAUAAUUUU